AUUUAAAUCCCCUAUCGAGGAUCAACUGAAGGGCAAGUCUGGUGCCAGCAGCCGCGGUAAUUCCAGCUUCAGUAGCGUAUAUUAAAGUUGUUGCAGUUAAAAAGCUCGUAGUCGCAUUUCUGGCGAGAGGAAUUGGUCCGACAUUUAUUGUGGGUACUCGAUUCUCUCUCGCCAUCCUUGAGUGGUCCGUUCUGGCAUUUAGUUGUCGGAGCGUCAGCCGCUCAUCGUUUACUGUGAGAAAAUUAGAGUGUUCAAAGCAGGCUUAUGCCGUUGAAUAUAUUAGCAUGGAAUAAUAAGAUAGGACCUCGGUGCUAUUUUGUUGGUUUGCGCACAGAGGUAAUGAUGAACAGGGACAGUUGGGGGUAUUUGUAUUUCGUUGUCAGAGGUGAAAUUCUUAGAUUUACGAAAGACAAACUACUGCGAAAGCAUUUACCAAGGAUGUUUUCAUUGAUCAAGAACGAAAGUAUGGGGAUCGAAGAUGAUUAGAUACCAUCGUAGUCUAUACCAUAAACUAUGCCGACUCAGGAUGGGCGGGUGUUGUAUGACCUCGUCUGCACUGUAUGAGAAAUCAAAGUCUUUGGGUUCCGGGGGGAGUAUGGUCGCAAGGCUGAAACUUAAAGAAAUUGACGGAAGGGCACCACCAGGAGUGGAACCUGCGGCUUAAUUUGACCCAACACGGGAAAACUUAUCAGGUCCAGACAUAGUGAGGAUUGACAGAUUGAGAGCUCUUUCUUGAUUCUGUGGGUGGUGGUGCAUGGCCGUUCUUAGUUGGUGGAGUGAUUUGUCUGGUUAAUUCCGUUAACGAACGAGACCGCAGCCUGCUAAAUAAUCACAGUAAUGAUUUUUCAUUGCUGAUGGUUUCUUAGAGGGACAUGUAGUAUAAAACUACAGGAAGAUUGCAGCAAUAACAGGUCUGUGAUGCCCUUAGAUGUUCUGAACCGCACGCGUGUUACACUGACGCAUUCAACGAGCAUAUAACCUUAGCCGAGAGGCUUGGGCAAUCUUGUUAACCUGCGUCGUGAUAGGGAUAGAUUAUUGCAAUUAUUAAUCUUGAACGAGGAAUUCCUAGUAAACGCACAUCAUCAAUGUGCAUUGAUUACGUCCCUGCCCUUUGUACACACCGCCCGUCGCACCUACCGAUUGAGUGGUCCGGUGAACCCUCGAGAUUGUGAUUAAUUUCUUUUAUUAGAAUUUGAUUGU
rnacentral:rRNA from 1 species